rnacentral:rRNA from 1 species
UACGGAGGGUGCAAGCGUUAUCCGGAUUCACUGGGUUUAAAGGGUGCGUAGGUGGGCAGGUAAGUCCGGUGGUGAAAUCUCCAAGCUUAAACUUGGAAACUGCCGUGGAUACUAUCUGUUCAUUGAAUACCGUGGAGGUGAGCGGAAUAUGUCAUGUAGCGGUGAAAUGCUUAGAAUAUGACAUAGAACACCAAUUGCGCAGGCAGCUUACUACACAGUAAUUGACACUGAGGCACGAAAGCGUGGGGAUCAAACAGG